rnacentral:rRNA from 1 species
UUGAUCAUGGCUCAGAAUCAACGCUGGCGGCGUGCCUAACACAUGCAAGUCGAACGCGAAAGGGGCUUCGGCCCUGAGUAGAGUGGCGAACGGGUGAGUAACACGUGGGUGACCUACCCUCGAGUGGGGGAUAACAUCCCGAAAGGGUGCUAAUACCGCAUGACAUCCUGCCUUUGAACAGGCGGACAUUAAAGCCGGGGAUCGCAAGACCUGGCGCUCGAGGAGGGGCUCGCGUCCGAUUAGCUAGUUGGUGGGGUAAAGGCCUACCAAGGCGACGAUCGGUAGCCGGCCUGAGAGGGCGGACGGCCACACUGGGACUGAGACAAGGCCCAGACUCCUACGGGAGGCAGCAGUGGGGAAUUGUUCGCAAUGGGCGCAAGCUGGACGACGCAACGCCGCGUGGAGGAUGAAGGUUUUCGGAUUGUAAACUUCUUU